CCCGGGGUUACUUGCGCCCUCUAUAGAUGAAAGACAGUACCGCCAGUUCUGAGAGUCGCACGGGGGUGCGUACAAAGGGGCCAGGGCGCCGAGAUCACGGAAACAACGGUGCUGGGACCCUGUGCACAGAAGCCAGAUGCCAGACGGGAAUUAAACAUUCGGCCGAGAAAAGCAAUCUAGUUCCCUAGGCUCGACUUUGGCUCACUCCUUGGUCCGCACCAAUCCUCACAUCCCUCACGUCCUCUAACUUUUACGGCUGUAUCCCGAAAUCGCGUCUUUGGUCUCAACGGCUCCAGAAGGCUCGCUCUUCAAGAAAUGUUCCACUACCUUCAGAUAGAUGUGGAUACAUACAUGGUUUUGGCCUAAAGAAAUCUUUGCAAAAAGGGAGAAUACAUACUUGUUCUUUUCCUUGGAUUUACGGAGUGCCAGUAUCAGAGUCUAUUGAGGAGGAGUCUCUGAAAAUGACAGCUGAUGGGUGUAGAGACCCACGCCCGGAAUCUCAGCAACUGAAGUGGCUGAAGCAGGAGCAUGUAGGCAGAGCUCGAACCAGGAAUGAAUGUA
rnacentral:lncRNA from 1 species